rnacentral:rRNA from 1 species
GAUGAACGCUAGCUACAGGCUUAACACAUGCAAGUCGAGGGGAAACGAUAUUGGAAGCUUGCUUCCGAUAGGCGUCGACCGGCGCACGGGUGAGUAACGCGUAUCCAACCUGCCCACCACUUGGGGAUAACCUUGCGAAAGUAAGACUAAUACCCAAUGAUAUCUCUAGAAGACAUCUGAAAGGGAUUAAAGAUUUAUCGGUGAUGGAUGGGGAUGCGUCUGAUUAGCUUGUUGGCGGGGUAACGGCCCACCAAAGCUACGAUCAGUAGGGGUUCUGCGAGGAAGGUCCCCCACAUUGGAACUGAGACACGGGCCAAACUCCUACGGGAGGCAGCAGUGAGGAAUAUUGGUCAAUGGGAGAGAGCCUGAACCAGCCAAGUAGCGUGCAGGAUGACGGCCCUAUGGGUUGUAAACUGCUUUUAUAAGGGAAUAAAGUGAGUCUCGUGAGACUUUUUGCAGGUACCUUAUGAAUAAGGACCGGCUAAUUCCGUGCCAGCAGCCGCAGUAA